UCACAGAAUUUUUUAAUACUGUUCAAAAAGUACCUGACUCUACAUAAACACCAACUAUAACAUGAUGUAGACAAUCGAGAAACAAGCAAAUGUAUUUUUCAAUGCUAAAAUAAAUUACAUUUGUACAAGUAGAAAGCAAAACCAAAGCUGAUAAAAAUGUUAAAUUUUAUGAAAAAUCAUUUUCAGUUCACAUCAAAAUAAUAACUUUACAUUCUCUAUUUUUAAUAGUAUAAGCAGCAACAACAUAAAAAAGAACAAAUGCUCACAGAAUGUUUGAAACCAGUUGUUCAUAAGUCAUUAGCAAAUUAAAAAAAAUAAUAAUUACAAGCACUUGUAGCCCACACAAAUCUUUUAGAAUUGGCACCGUCUCUCUAAAACAUCUAUAUUCUAUAUAGAUUUCUAAUUACAAAUACCACCAGCAGCUGCCAUAUAAUCCUAUUAGUACAUGUAAUAUACAUAGUAUAUUUGUUCCCAUUUGGCAGAUUGGAGUGACUUAAUGAUUAUUGUUUGCUAGUACUGUCAUUACUCAGAUGAGACAAAACCAGCCAUAUACAUCAAUUCAUCACCUAGAUGAAUUUUUUACUUACCUUUAUGCUUCACUGGUCUGCAUCUUUCCUCCUUUUCACAGUAUAAAAUUGUAAGUGGCAAUUGAAGAGAUUUGAACAGAGGGUAUAGUAAUAAACCAUAGCAAAAAAAAGUGAAUUCAGAUAAUUCAACUGAAGUCUUUAAUAUGUGCAGUGCACACUGAAAUGGGUAGCAGAUGAAUUAUUUGCCUGUUCAUGGAGAGAAUUGACUUCCUUUUAUGAGAUUCAUGAAACUGCCAGAAAACUGUGACCUGUUUCUUAUUUUUGGGCAUAUUCUCUUGCAUCACUUAACACAUUUAGUCAGUACAAUUUUCCCAUUUGGCAUACCUGCUAGAGUAGCAAUGAUGAAGAAGAAUGGUGGGGAGGUACUAUUCACCAAGCCUAGCAAGUUGCUUCAAGAAUUAAUCCAAUAAAAUACAUCUGCUUUUUGAUUCAAAAGAAAGUGGGCAGAACAUCCUGUCCUUAUCAUUCUCUGCUGAACCAAAUAGCCAAGAUCUAUAGACUUGGUUGGCCACUAUCAAACUUCGAUUUUCUUUACAUGUAUAUUAGUCUGGAGUGAUUCCAUUGACCUCAAUAGGUUAAGGGCCAAUGCCAGUAAAGGACUUCAGCACUUAAAGUUAUGCAGUGUAAUAGCUAUUUUUGUACUAUUUGGCUCUAGUGUGGAGGCCAAAACCCUUUGUUAAAUGUCUGGCCUUGGUGUGAAGUUUGUAAGAAGACUUAGGUGCCCAGGAAAGCAAUGUAACAUGGAAAGAGAGGUCUGAUAUUACUCUGUGUGAGCCAGUAUGGAAAUGAAAUGCACAGAAAAUACUAAUUUUCAACUGGGAUCCAUUUCUGGACAUGGCUAUACUUUUUGCUUCAAAAAGGGUCCCUUUUUUCUGCAGGCUCAGAGAAGGGGGAACCUCAAGUUUAAUUCCUUUGCCUACCCAAGAAGACUCAGAAUUUCCCUUUCCGUGGAGGAGUCUGAAAACUCCAGGUGGAAUACAAGAUGGUUGCAGACACAGAGGUAAGGAAGGGCACGUCAUUCCCUCCUGUCACUAAAGCACUUUUCAGGGAAGUAUUUAACAGGAUGGGGGUGUUAGCCAAUGCAUAUCAUAGAAAAAAUGUUGUCUCUAUUUUGUAGUUGCAGUCUUUGUGUCUCCACUUCUUUUGCAGUCAUCUGGUCUGUGCUCCAGAGAUUUCUGAAGUAUUUUGUGCUAAAUGGUCAUAUACCAUCCUUAAUUGCAUCAAGUGUAUGUCCUAUCAGGGUCCAGAGUAGCUGUUCCUUUUCUAUGCUGGGACUCAAAUUUGUUUCUAUCUUGUGAAGCUGACAUACCUCAACACUGAGUCAUUUGAGCACUUUUCAGCUAGGGGUAAGUUUUCAAUCACCUCCGAUAACGGUAGGGUUUGAAUUUAGGUCUCUCACCUGUCCAAAUGCUCUAACCCCAAGGCUUAUUGUAAGAAAACAGCAGCAUAACCAGACCCACAGCCUUAAAACAAAGGAUGAUUUCUACUCCAUUUUGUUGGAAGUAUGAUCCUAUUGGUCUUUGAGGAGUUGUACGCUCUAUGUACUCACUCAUGGGAUAUACAGGGAUUUAAUGUAGGAACAGCUGUUUUCUGGAUCCCUGAUGGGUUUCAGCAUGAGUUAGAUGUGUCAAGAUAAGGAUAGUUCUAAGCAUGCGCAGAUGUGCAAUGCUAGAUGCCUCAGUAACGUGACAGUUGAAUAGUGAUUUAAAAAUUGAGUUUUAAAUGUAGAUAUUAAAUUCUGCUGAAAUCUUAACUUUAGACAUCAAAGUCCUUUUUUGGGUCAGCCCUGACAUUGGUCUCCAAUACAAUAAAAAGUCAUGGUCACAUAAUUAAUCCUGAGCAUAGUGCUCCAAUUUCCCUAAGGACCCGACAUUUUUUGUAUGUCGUCUGUUGCUGUCACGUUUUUUCUUCUCACCUCAUAAAUGAUGUAUUAAGCAGAAUAGCAAAGUCGCACACUUUCCUCUACAGAGUUUACAACCACAGCUGUGUUGUCUUUCAGUCUGGUCUUGGUGUCUCUAAAGAAAACAUCCCCAGGUGAACUCCACUAUCAUCCGGAGUCAGAAUCAUGGAUUGGCCCUCCCAAUUACUCUCUUUGGAGAUCUUAUUCUCACAGUUUUGACUGCUAAGUUUUCCUUUUGCAAACACAGCAACUGAAUAAAUAUCCAAGCAAGCUAACUUUCUUUUUCUUUUAAAACUUUUAACUGUUAUUUUUUAAUUAACAUUUAAUUUGCUUUUGUAGCUGGAAAUUGAUGGAAGAAGCCAGCACCUUGCGACCAACUAGGCUCCCAUGAAACAUCAGCAAGUGCUUUGUGGACCAUGGUCUAAAAAUCUCUGGUCUAAAGCAUCUGUAUGAGUCUAGGCACCAAAUGUUCAGAUAGAAAUACAAGGAAGCACAUCUCUAAAUGUCAUGCAGUUGUUCUUCAGAACCAAUUUAAAAUGCAGUUCUUCUUCAGUAUUGCUAACACUUCUUCCCAGCUGGCCUGCCAGAACAAUUCAUUUUAUUUCAAGAGCACAGAUUCCAGAAGUGGUUACACCUUCACUCGUCAGGGUUGGCCUCAAGAACAAAAGAAACAAGUGAUUUUUCCAAGGUCCCUGCAGUCAAGAAUGACAAUUGUUUCAACUCCUUUAAUUCCCUUUCUGGCAGCAGCACUAAGUUGGAAGGCAAAGUCAAGCCAUUCAGUUGGUAAUUGCACAUUCUUUAGUUAGAUUGGGAAGUACUCAUAACCGUACCCUUUGCUUUAUGUUUUCACCCUGCCAAUUAAUCUUAAUGCCCUAAACAGACUAGCAUACAAACAGCAUAAUGAAAUCAUAUAUGUCUUUCAUGAGUUUCUUUUUCUUGUGUCAAAAUAUUUGGCUUCUAUCAAACGACUUUCCAGCCUUUCAGAUCUCCUACUGGGCUCUUUUGAAUUACUACUACAGUCACUACCUUCUUCUCACAAAAAAAACUUUCCUCCCUUUGUUGAAAUCCAAGCAUAUAAUUCAAAGUGAGACUGGUACAUUCAAGCUUGUACAAUUAAAAUGAAUUCUUCCUUCUUUAAAUGCCAUUAAGGCUGAUCUAUCUUUCAUUAAAGAUAGACUGACAAAAAGGAGGUACAAUCUCAGCAGGGUCCAUCCUUGGUUCCUUGUGCAAUUAAAAUUUCUGCUGUGGCUAAACGGAUACACAAAAAUGCAUGACUUCUCCCAGAGAAAGAAUGAACAAAGUGCUCAAAAUUUGGGUUGUAUAACAUUGGGGUUUUAGCCUCUUACAACAUGGAUUCAGGUGUUUGAGGGGUUUGUAUGUGUGUGGGUGUGCACACAUGCAUGCAUACAUCAUCUUGGCAAUAUGUAUGAAAGCUGACAAGAAGCUCUGAGCAAUAGCUACAGCCAAGGUUGAGCAGAAUUGCAAUUUGGGAGCAGAAGAGGUAUAUUUGUGCUGAGUCAUGGUUCGACAGUUUCUAUUUCUCAUUCCUUUUUACCGAUUUUAUUUUUGAGAAAAGAUUUUUAUGUCUAUCUGUAUAAUCCUUAUUUUCAUUGUCGAUUGUUUCACAGUGCAGUGAAGCCCACAGAUUUUAGCAGGAUUACGUUAGUAUCAAGUGUCCACCAAACAUAAGAAAAGACUACAAAAACUGGAACCUAAAAGGCUAGGAAAAGACCAAGGUGGAGAAUGUUCUAGUAAGGACAAUUGGUCAACAGCUUAAAGAGUAUGAGAACAGAUAGUAAUAGAAAGCCUUUGAAAUUCACACUAACUAUCUCAGUACAUUCUGUGUAUAUCAAAACAAUAUUGUACUGAUGGGAAACAUAUAUUAUCAUAUAAGUAUUCCAUGAACAACAUUUAAGUGGUCCAUAAUCCCUAAACAAGAAUGUUUGUGUCACAGACUGAUUGGACAUGCUCUUCCUUUGAAUGUGGGUUGUAACCUGUGAAGAAGAUGGUUUCUGCUAAAGACAUGGCGAGUUAAGGAAUGAUGAGACAUGCUAGUACUGUGAACCAGGAGGGCAAACCCAAGCCCUGGUCUGGAAACAGUACAGCUGCACGGAACUGAGUCUGUGCUAACCAGUCGUGCAAGGGGCAAGAACUACACAUAAGCAGCAGAGACCUACAGUCAUGACUUGGUGUAUUGACCUUCUUUCUGGAGUAGAGUUGUUUUGUGACCUGCUGAUUCAUGCUAUAGGCAUAGCUAGUAAACGACUUUACCUGGCAAAAUAAGCAUGCCAACAGGCUGCUAAUGGAUAACACUUCCUUGUGCAGGAUGUACGGAGUCACUACUGUAUCUCUGUGAGGUGCUAGCCUGGAUUCAGUCAUCUAUUACUUUUGGUUUCUAAUGUUGUUGAGCAGCAAGUUGGUUUGCAGCAUGCAAUGGUGAAAUUAGCUUUCCAAAGGAAUAGAAAAUGCGCUUUGCUAAAGUAUGUGAAUGUGCUUUCAUCUUUCUUUUUUUUGUUUGCUAAAAUAUCUAUUAUUUUGGACAUGGGGAAGAGAAAGGGAGUAUGAAUUUCGAUUACAAAAUAUUUGUUAUCUUUGAAGAGAUAAGAUUGAAAGGUUUUGAAAAUGAAACAUAGCAGCCUUAUUUCAAGGCUCCCUUCCAAGAGGCUGUCUUCUAUAUAAGGCUACAUCAACUCAAUUUUGAAUUGAAGUACAUCACUCACCACUUCAUACUAUCCUUAAAUAAAAUAAAACAAAACAAACCC
rnacentral:lncRNA from 1 species